GAGAUGGCUCAGUGGUUAAGAGCACUGACUGCUCUUCCAGAGGUCCUGAGUUCAAAUCCCAGCGACGCA
rnacentral:tRNA from 1 species